UGAACGCUAGCGGCAGGCCUAAUACAUGACAAGACGAACGGUAAGUUGAGUGGCAAUACUUAGCCAAGAGUGUCGUACGGGUGCGUAACACGUAUGCAACCUACCUAUACAGGAGGAUAGCCUAGGGAAACCUGGAUUAACCCUUCAUAGUAUUAUUGGAUGGCAUCAUUUGAUAAUUAAAACUGAGGUGGUAUAGGAUGGGCAUGCGUCUGAUUAGUUAGUUGGCGGGGUAAUGGCCCACCAAGACGAUGAUCAGUAGGGGUUCUGAGAGGAAGAUCCCCCACACUGGCGCUGAGAUACGGGCCAGACUCCUACGGGAGGCAGCAGUAGGGAAUAUUGGUCAAUGGAUGCAAGUCUGAACCAGCCAUGCCGCGUGCAGGAAGAAGGCCUUCUGGGUUGUAAACUGCUUUUGCCAGGGGAUAAAAUUUCCAUGCGUGGAAAACUGAAGGUACCUGGUGAAUAAGCCACGGCUAACUACGUG
rnacentral:rRNA from 1 species